GACCUCAAAUCAAUGAAAAGAGUACCCGCUGAACUUAAGCAUAUCAAUAAGCGGAGGA
rnacentral:rRNA from 1 species